rnacentral:rRNA from 1 species
GAUCAUGGCUCAGGAUGAACGCUAGCUACAGGCUUAACACAUGCAAGUCGAGGGGCAGCAUCAUCAAAGCUUGCUUUGAUGGAUGGCGACCGGCGCACGGGUGAGUAACACGUAUCCAACCUGCCGACAACACUGGGAUAGCCUUUCGAAAGAAAGAUUAAUACCGGAUGGCAUAGUUUUCCCGCAUGGGAUAAUUAUUAAAGAAUUUCGGUUGUCGAUGGGGAUGCGUUCCAUUAGGCAGUUGGCGGGGUAACGGCCCACCAAACCUACGAUGGAUAGGGGUUCUGAGAGGAAGGUCCCCCACAUUGGAACUGAGACACGGUCC